rnacentral:tRNA from 1 species
GGAGAGGUGCGAGAGUGGUUGAAUCGACCGGUCUCGAAAACCGGAAUAGCCGCAAGGCUAUCGAGGGUUCGAAUCCCUCCCUCUCCGCAA